CUGUCCUGUUUAGCAAGAAACUAACAAACAGCGAUAUGGCGGCGUAUGCUGCUGUGACUUCACUUUUGCAUACCCUGGACAGUCUAUCUCAAACUGAUAUUCUUUACAAAAAAAAGCAAACUGAAGUCCUCAGUGACAAGUACACCUUCCUUAAAACCUUUCUUGAGGAUUUUACUAAUAUUUUCCAUGAAGAUGUAAAGAUGAAGCAUCUCGAAAGGAUAAUCCAAGAAGCUGCUAAUGGAGUGGAAGAUACUAUUGACUCACAUGUAUAUGAUAGACAUGUUUUAGUACAAAGCAAGCAAGUACGAAGUAAGGCUGAUGCAAUUUUCCAUCAAAACUUGGAAUAUGCAAUUGAGGAAAUUGGUUUGAUACAAAAAGAGGUUAUGAAAAAGAUAAAGGUCAACAAGUUCAACAGCAAAAUCUCUCAUUCAAGAGAUACUUCAUCUCAGAUCCCUUUGGAUCAAAAAGAUAUAAUCGUUGGACUAGAUGAAGAUUUACUAAGGAUAAAAGAUCGACUCAUCGUGCAAUCAUCAAGACUCGAAGUUGUCCCUAUUAUAGGGAUGGGUGGUAUUGGCAAGACCACACUGGCUAGAAGAGUUUAUGAUGAUUCCUUGAUUGCAUACCAUUUUUAUGUCCGAGCAUGGACAAAUGUAUCUCAAGAAUUUGACACCAGAGAAAUUUUUCUUGGUAUUCUUCGCUCCAUUGGCGCAGUCAACGAUGAAGUAGAAAGAAACAGUACUAAUGAGCAAUUGGCUGAAAGAGUUUAUCGAAGUUUAAAAGGGAGGAAGUAUCUUAUUGUCCUAGAUGAUAUGUGGUCCAUCGAGGCUUGGCAGCAUGUGAGGAGAUCAUUUCCAGAUGAUCAUAAUGGAAGUCGAAUCGUGUUGACCACAAGGCUUGCAGAUGUUGCAUCUUGUGCUUGCUCUGUCAAUUCCCUUCACCAGAUGCGCUUUCUGAGCAUGGAGGAAAGCUGGACUCUUUUACGCGAUAAGGUCUUUGGGAACGGUAGUUACUCUCCGGAAUUGGAGAAAAUUGGGAGAUACAUUGUCCAUCAGUGUCAAGGGUUGCCACUUGCAGUUGUUGCAAUUGGUGGACUACUUUCCAAGAUGAGCAAGGAAACAAGUUCUUGGGAGAAUGUUGCAGAAAAGGUAGGAUCGCUUAUGACCAGUGACACUACGGAUUGCUUGAACAUACUUUCUUUGAGCUACAACCACUUGCCUCAGUACUUGAAAGCAUGCUUCCUUUAUAUGGGAGUUUUUGCAGAAAUCCGUGAGAUCCCGGUCUGGAAGUUAAUAAAGUUAUGGAUUGCUGAGGGCUUCGUCAAGAAAGUUAAUCAUAAAAAUCUAGAAGAUGUGGCAGAGGAAAAUUUGAGGGAGUUAGUUGAUAGAAGUUUGGUUUUGGUGGGGAAGCAUACUUCCCUACGAAAAAUCAAGACUUGUAAGAUGCAUGAUCUCGUUCGAGAUAUGUGUUUGAGAGAAGCCAAAUAUGAGAAUUUUAUACACUUCAAAACAAGGUAUGACCAUGAUGACCUUCUAGAAAACAUUAGUUGUCUACGUCGUGUAGCUGAUUUCCAUAAGUAUACAGACAGUGAACUUUCUAAACUUAUGCCACACACACGUUCUGUUUUCUUCAAAUAUCCAUACUUUUUUGUUUCCUCUCACAGUCGAGCUUUAGAUUACUUAGGAUAUUAGAUGUUUGCUUUGAUCCUUUUUUUAACUGUUCUCCGUCCAUAUCCGAAUUGAUUCAUUUGAGGUAUCUUGCUUGUCCGUCCUUCGAUGGCCUUGUGCAGUCAAUAUGCAAGCUUCGGAAUUUACAGAACUUAGUUAUUCAUGAUUCAUGUCCAUUUGGUUUAUGUAUGUGGGAAGUUGUGAAUAUGCCUCAACUAAGACAUAUCCAUACAAAAAAGUUUAUUCUUUUCAUACCCCCACCUACAUCACUAAUUGCUGUGAGGGAGAAUCAUUUACAAACGUUAACCGGAUUGAUUUCCUCAUCUUGUAAUGAAGAGGUGUUUCUAAGAAUUCCAAAUUUGAAGAAGUUGGGAAUAUUAAUUGAUGUUGUUUCAGACACUAUUCAGAAGUGUUAUUGUCUUGAUAAUCUUGUACAUUUAACUCAGCUUGAGAAGCUCAAAGUUGAGUGCGAUUAUCUGCAGGAGUUAAUUUGGAUCUUAGGAGCUCGAAGCUUAGGUUGGGUGGGCCUUCCUUUGCUACACAUUCCACAUUGUGAAAAUUUCCCACCAAACCUUAAGAAGUUAACAUUGUGCAGAACGUACCUACAAUGGGAAGACAUGAACAUUCUCAGAAAAUUACCUAAUCUUGAGGUGCUCAAACUUAAACAUAAUGCCUUUGACGGACUAAUUUGGAUACUAAGCGAUGAAGACGAAGAUGGAUUCUUGAAGCUAAAGUUUUUACUUCUUAAGCGCAUGAGUCUGAAGCAAUGGGAAGCAACAAGUUAUCAUUUUCCAAGCCUUGAGCACUUAGUCCUAAAAGAUUGCCGGAACUUGGAACAAAUUCCUUUCGACUUUGCGGAGAUUCAGACACUACAGCUGAUUGAACUACACGAAUGUAUGCGUUCUGUUCUUGUUUCAGCAGAGCAAAUACAAGCGGAGCAACAAAGCUUGGGAAAUGAUGACCUCAUUAUUCAUGCGAACUAUAUAUGUGAGUAAACAUUAAUCAAAAAGGUAUACAUUUCUUAAAAGCAUAAAUUUUUUGAUUAGCUAGAUUCGUUCGAAAUCUGAAAAUGUUUUUAUAUUCAUCAUUUUCACUUAUUUAUACUAUAAAAGGUGCUAAUUACAAUUGGUUUGUGCAUUGAAGACGUAACGACUAGCUGAUGGAGAGUACCAAAAGGUAUAUAUACUCAAGCAAAUUUGCAGAAGUUCAUAAUCUUUCCUGUCUGUGUAUUUCAAUUUCCUUUUUUUCAAAUUCAGGGAAGUAAGUUAGUGAAAUAGUCAUGUUUCGACUUGUUUAGGACUGAGACUUAGUUUAGUGAAUCUGAUAUCUAUAUACAUUCAUCAGAAAGAAUACAUUACCUUUGGAAUGUGUAUAUAGUUGAAUAACUUCUCUUUUUAUUGAAAUUGAUUCUAUAAAUCAGUUCUCCUCAACAAAACCUUUUUCGUCCAUUACCAAACACACCCUUAGUGUUUCUUUGUUUUGCUCGUCUUAACUCUUAUCUAUACUUUAACAUUUUUGUGUUUUACUUGCUUCUUUUGUUUACAAUAAUGUUUUAUCAUUUUGAAUAUGUUGACUUUUAGUCAAUUUUAUUUUUCUUUAGUUCAAAACAAUAUAAUAAAAGAGGCGUUGAAAAAUUCCAAAUACGUGAAACGUAAUCUUCUCUUUAUUUUGCUUUGCUCUUUCGAUCUUAAUUUAUAUAACGUAUUUCGCUUUUUAGUAUGUCUCAAAACAAAUUUACUACAUUUUUCUAAUUUGAAUAUAUAUUAAAAUUGUGGAUAUCAUAUUUUAGUCAUGAUGUUAUACUUUAGUUAAAGAAUAUUUCUUUUUACUUGUUCACUUUAGCAAAUCAAGAUCAUAAAAUUAUUAAUUGAUUUUUUUAUAAUUGUAGCGUCUAAGUCCGUUUGUAUGCGCACCGACUAAUUCUAUGAUAUACUAUAUCUAUUAUUCCUCACCAACCAUGCAUAAAGUAACUUUGUUAUCAAAGCUUGAACUGAUAAGAAGAAAUCAUCACGUGUUCUUAAUUAGCUAUAUCUAGAAUUUGAAUUUAAAAUCCCAUAAUUUUCAACACAUGACUUCAUUGACCAUCUUUCAAAAACAACAUAAGAUCUACAUUUAUUCUAUCUUUUCUUCCUGAUAAAUGAAAUUACACAAAAUACGUUGCGGUUGUUAUAUUGUCUUUGUGUAUCUAAAGUGAUAUGGGUGUGAGUGGGAACAUCCCAUGAGCAUAUGCUCAAGAAAAGGAUAUUGAAAACAAUGUGUAUGAAUUGUGCCCAAAUUAAAGUCAAUUCACUAUGCAUUUUCUUUAGAAAGAAAUGAAGGGUACAAACAUGUUUUUUUAAUAUUCAAGUUGGAAUAAACAACACAAUAUAAUCAAACUGAGAAAUGAUAUUCAAUAUACUUUUGCAGGCAUCCAGCAAGUUGGAAUAGUUUAAAGGUAAAAUGCAUAAGUACCCCCAGCUUAUGUUCAAAAUCCCUGAGACAUACCUAACAUUUACUAAGGUCCUAUUACUCUCUUGAACUUAUUUUAUAUAUAAUUUUCUACCCCUUUUCAGCUUACAUGGCACUAUCUUGUGGGUCCAGCGCGUGUUGUCAAUUUUUCCAAGGAUAGUGCCACGUAGGCCGAAAAGGGGUAAAGAAUUAUAUAUAAAAUAAGUUUAGGGGUAAUAGGACCUUAGUAAAGGUUAGGUGUGUCUUAGAAAUUUUGGACAUAGGCUGGGGGUACCUUAUGCAUUUCCCCUAGUAUAAAUCAGAUGAGUUCAAAAAGUUGGCACCAUACCGGGUGCAAUUCCGCAAGUAGGGUCUCGGAGGUUAAAAUGUACGCAACCUUAUGAAGGUAGACACACUAUUUUAAGUAGACUCUCGGCUCAAGUAACGCUUAGAAAGAAAAUAUAGUAGGAAGAAGUCAUGCUAAAAAUAACGCAGGAGAGAAUAGUAACAAGAUGUUAAAUAAUGUGGAGCCCAAAUGUAAUUUUCUAACUUUUUUUCUUUUUGUAUUUCUUUCCACAAAAAUAUUGAACUUUGAACUUCACACAUAAAAUCAAUGUUAAAUUUGUCUUACCUUCCCCUCCAAAAUAACCUCUUUAAAAAUGACACAAAUGAAGAAAUUGCACUGAUCCAAAUGAGGAAAAUCAGUUGAAAAGCUUGGAUCUUCCACUGAUGUAAAAAAAAAAUUGAGUCCCCUUUUCCUCUUUUAGUGUAAAGUUCAAAUCUUUGUACUGAUAAUCAGUUUUGAUUGGUUUUUAAAAAAAAAAAAUUAACCCCCUUUUCCUCUUUCAGUUUAAAGCUCAAAUCUUUUUACUGAUAAUCAUUUUAUUUUUUUGCAGAGUUAUGGAGAGCAACACUUAAGAGGAUUGCAAGAGUAACUUAUUUUCCCCCAUAGUACAGUUUCCUCUCUUUUUUUCUCAAUACAUUGCAUUUUUGUUAUUGUUAUUGUUGUUGUUGUUGUGGGUUAGUACAUAAAUGUUGAUCUUUAUUGUGCUUAAUUAUUAUUUCAGAAAGUCACGCUUCUUCUUGAUUUCAAUUUUUUUCAACAAAGAAAGUGACCUUCUGACAAUAAUAACUAUUAGUUGAAUGACCAUCUUAGAAAGUGACAUUUCAAUUUUUUUCGACAAAGAAAGUGACAUUACCUAACCAUAGUUAUUUUUCAAAGAUAUGAUCAAAAAGUGGCUCAUUACGGUAUGAAUGUAGUUUGGGCAAGUUGUAUGACUUUGGGACUCAUUUUAAAAAACUAUUCCAACUUGCCUUUUGGUACAAGUCUUAAAUACCAUUGACUUCAAUCAAAACUCUCUUAUAGAGAAACAGACACAAAGAGAAGACUUCUCUUUACAUAGCCUAACAAGUCUUGCAUUCCCAUCCAUUACACUGCCUUAUCCGAUAGACCCUCGACACAACAAUAAAGAAAAGAAUUUGAAGCAUGGUAGCAAGAAAAUAUGACAGCAAAACAGCAAGAUACAAAUCAAAUGAAGCAACAAGUAGUAAUGCACAUCGAAGAAAAAGAAACAAAGUGCAACAAUAUUGCUACCUACUAACCUUCUAAUGUAAUCCUCAACUUUCACUCCUUCCUACCUAGGGUCAUAUCCGGAGUAAAACUUGUAGAUUUUGAAAUUACCUGACUAUAGUUAUUUUUAGAAGAUAUGUCCGAAAGUGUCUCUCUAGUAUGAAUGUAGUUUGGGCAUGGGUCUCUGACAAACUAUUCCAACUUGCUUUUUGGUACAAGUCUUUAAAUACAAUUUGAGUCUCAAUCUGACAAAUAAUUCAAUGAGCAAAACAAGAAUUCUCACUUCUACCCUUCCACCAACCCCACCAUUACUCUCUUGGAGAGAAACAGACACAAAGAGAAGACUUCUCUUUACAAAACCUAAAAAGUCUAGCAUUCCCAUCCAUUACAUUGCCUUCUUCUUUCAUAAAGAAUUGGUUUUGAACAUCUAAAUCAAGAACUCAGAACUUCCUCCUAUUGUCCUGUAUAGUGAGAAACUAACAAACAGCGAUAUGGCGGCGUAUGCUGCUGUGACUUCACUUUUGCAAACCCUGGAUCAUCUAUCUCAAACUCAUACAUCACAUUCUCUUCAUUACAAAAAAGAGCAAACUGAAGUCCUCAGUGAGAAGUACACCUUCCUUAAAACCUUUCUUGAGGAUUUUACUAAUAUUUUCCAUGAAGAUGUAAUGAUGAAGCAUCUCGAAAGGAUGAUCCAAGAAGCUGCUAAUGGAGUGGAAGAUACUAUUGACUCACAUGUAUAUGAUAGACAUGUUUUAGUACAAAGCAAGCGAGUACGAAGAAAGGCUAAUACAACUUUCCAUCAAAACUUGGAAUAUGCAAUUGAGGAAAUUGGUUUGAUACAAAAAGAGGUUAUGAAAAAGAUAAAAGGUCAACAAGUUCAACAGUAAAAAUCUCUCAUUCAAGAG
rnacentral:lncRNA from 1 species